CAGCACUCUUAGAGGUGGAGUUGAAAGUAGUCGUUAUGGCAGGCAGUUCUUCUACAGGUGUGUUCCAGGGAUCGAACUCAGUUGUGAAGUCUCUGCAGGUUUAGAAGAUAAGUAACCAGAUAUUUGGAUGAAGACUGAAGGUAUGCUCCUAAAUGCCUAUGCUGAAAGUGAAGCCAUGAUGUGUUCAUAUAUGGAGAAGUCAUGAUGCGAGCAUACAUGGAGAAGCCAUGAUGUGAGCAUAUGUGGAGAAGCCAUGAUGGAAGAAUCGAAGUGCCCAUUUUGACACAAAGAGUUUUAAAAGAAUCUGAAGUUAUGGUGGUGCUUGCUUAUGGAAAGUAUUCCUGAAGACAGGUGCCCAAAGACCAUGAAAGACUUUUAUGGUCAAAUGCUUGAAACAACUCACCAUUUGGCUCAUGAAAAGCACAUGUCCUGAGAACUGGCACAAAAAUAGACCUCUAGACACUAGAUAUCAUCAGCCAAGUAAAAACAAUAGCAUGAAACCUGUAUGCAAAAACUCUUACUGAAAUUUUGGACAUUAAUUUUCUAGAACAAGCUAUUGAAGGAAGAAGUGUCAGAGUAUUCUCCAUUGACCUUCAAUAAUACCAUUUUGUUAUUAAUUGAAACAAUGAAGCUCCAUGAACUCCGAGGUUAUGGUGUCUUGAUGAAAUCCCAAUAAGAAAAAUGUUUGAUUUAUAAUACAUACUAACUCAAGAAUCUGCCAUUAUCUAGAGAGAAAAGUUAAUAAAAUGAAUGUACAGAAAAUACUUCUCUCAUGUGAAAUUUAGGUAGAAGGAGAGACUUGUAUCCUUAUGACCUUUAUUAGAACUGAAUUUUAUCACAGUAAAACAGAGUGAGCCAUUCUUACACUCUCAAAGAUGAACACCUGUAUUCUAGAUAAGAAAUUGUAACUAGACAAUAAGAACAGAUUCCUUGCAGUUAAAAGACUUCACACUCCAAAGAGUGGUAAGGAAUUAGGCAUAGGUGACAUAAUACAUAACACACAUGCACAUGCACAUGCAUGUGCACAUGCUGCCACACAUGCCAUAAAAUAACAAUUGAGUAAAAAUAUACAAUGUAUAAUAAACAAUAAAUAAAAAGUGCAAUGAGGAAAACAAGCUCAGUGUAAACCUUCAGUUGUUUGUGCUCAGUGGGAGAGUAAUGGUUUUAGAGCUGAUGUUUAAUUGAUAUAAAGUCCAGAUGAUGUCAAGAUGGUUGGUGACCAGAGAUCUUUGGAUAUAACAUAGCGAGCAGAAGGG
rnacentral:lncRNA from 1 species